rnacentral:rRNA from 1 species
GGUCAAGCUACUAAGGGCGCACGGUGGAUGCCUUGGCAGAGAUAGGCGAUGAAGGACGUGGCAAGCUGCGAUAAGCUUCGGUAAGCCGCACACAGGCGUUAUAACCGGAGAUCUCCGAAUGGGGAAACCCUCCCGAGCAAACCUCGGGAACACCCUGCUGAAUACAUAGGCAGGCGUGAGCGAACUCAGGGAAGUGAACCAUCUCAGUACCUGAAGGAAAAGAAAGAAACCUCGAUUCCGCUAGUAGUGGCGAG